UAGUCCUACGGGGGGCAGCAGUGAGGAAUAUUGGUCAAUGGCCGCAGGGCUGAACCAGCCAAGUCGCGUGAGGGAUGACGGUCCUAUGGAUUGUAAACCUCUUUUGUCAGGGAGCAAAGGGCGCCACGUGUGGCGUUUUGCGAGUACCUGAAGAAAAAGCAUCGGCUAACUCCGUGCCAGCAGCCGCGGUAAUACGGAGGAUGCGAGCGUUAUCCGGAUUUAUUGGGUUUAAAGGGAGCGUAGACGGCAGCGCAAGUCUGGAGUGAAAUGCCGGGGCCCAACCCCGGAACUGCUCUGGAAACUGU
rnacentral:rRNA from 1 species